rnacentral:rRNA from 1 species
AGAAUCAACGCUGGCGGCGUGCCUAACACAUGCAAGUCGAACGAGAAAGUGGAGCAAUCCAUGAGUACAGUGGCGUACGGGUGAGUAACACGUGACUAACCUACCCUCGAGUGGGGAAUAACCUCGGGAAACCGGGCUAAUACCGCAUAACAUCUUCGGAUCAAAUGCGUAAGCAGCUUGAGGAGGGGUCGCGGCCGAUUAGCUAGUUGGCGGGGUAAUGGCCCACCAAGGCAAUGAUCGGUAGCCGGCCUGAGAGGGCGCACGGCCACACUGGAACUGAAACACGGUCCAGACUCCUACGGGAGGCAGCAGUGGGGAAUUUUGCGCAAUGGGGGAAACCCUGACGCAGCAACGCCGCGUGGAGGAUGAAGCCCCUUGGGGCGUAAACUCCUUUCGACCAAGACGAUAAUGACGGUACUGGUGGAAGAAGCACCGGCUAACUCUGUGCCAGCAGCCGC